CUGCUUACACAUUUUCUACUCAGAGAUAACUGCUCAGUCAGAGCUCUUCAGACCUCAAAGUGGCCCGGGGCCUGGGUCUGGUGGGGAGGUGCUGCUUUGGCAACACAGAAGCCUCUGCUGCCUCUGGGAGCUGAGCCCACACCUUUCCUUCAAUCUGCAGGUGGUUUCAGAGAACAGACUCAAACAGCUGAGCGCUGAUUUUCCAGUAUGUACAAACUUGAAACACCCAUUCGCACUGAUAUCACAACCCUCGAAUCCUCGCAUAUACAUACAAAUGUGGUCAAAGGUAGGUUCACUGAAACGUACGUAUUUUCAAACAUAUGUCAAGAACUGUGAAUAGUCUGAGAUUUUUCUCCUACUUGCCAGCAAGAGAUUUCCCUGCCACAGUGUCAUGGAUGCUGGUAGAAAACACAAAAUUCCUGGAUUAGGCAUGAAGGACGGUUUAUUUCUAACAGCAAUCUCAGUUGCCAGAGUAUCGGCAUUUUGGUGCCAGGUCUCUGAGUUGUCAUUUCUACAGGGUGACAUGAGAAGGACUCAGUGACACCUGCAUCACCAGCCCCUUACGAUGGUAGUGUGUUCCUUAGUCACAGGACCGGGGCUGCUUGAAGAAGACACGAAGCCUGGAUCAGAGGGAUGUAGGCAUGCUCUUCCCUGACACUCGUCAGUUUCUCAGACCAGUCAGUCACUGCGUUGCAGCUGGCCGCAUACGUAUUUGCACCAAUACUUCUUGACCAGCUUUUCUUCUUUCUGACUGCCUCUUGUUCUGCCUUUUUUCCCCUCAUUCAAAAAAGAAACAAACUCUUUGUCUUCUUUUUCAUAACCUUCCAACCUCCACUACCUCCGAUUUUUAAUCACAUCAUUUACCAGAAGUUUCUAUAUCAGAUCAUCAGCUUUCUGGGUCUGGUGCGUUCCCCGGCUGAGAUUUCUUUUUAGGGCAUCACACUGGGCUAGUUCCACUGUUUUCCCCAACCCACGCCUUCCUCUUUUGUAGAUUCCUUUUUCAUUUUGCUUGUAGCACACCCUCAAACAACCUUUUCUAAAAGGCUAUUUAGUUGAUAGUCUAUGUAGUUACAAGAUGAAAGGCUCAAAAUCACUUUCCCUCUGAACCCAUUCUAACUGUCUGAGCUGUUGCUAUGAAUUCUGGGGCUAAUUUGAUCCUCUUUCUUGGUAAGUGAUCUGUUUUUCCCUCUCUGGAAGAUAAGAUCUUAUCACUGGUCUCCUCAAAUUUCAUAAGUAUAUUCCAAGGAGUUCUGCCUUUCAGACCAAAGAUCUAUGUCUUCAAACUAGGUCAUUUUUUCCUGACCUCAAAACCUACACAACUGGUUUUCUCUUUCUGGAAA
ensembl:lncRNA